rnacentral:rRNA from 1 species
CCCGCUGAACUUAAGCAUAUCAAUAAGCGGAGGAAAAGAAACUAACAAGGAUUCCCCUAGUAACUGCGAGUGAAGCGGGAAGAGCUCAAAUUUAAAAUCUGGCGGUCUGUGCGGCCGUCCGAGUUGUAAUCUGGAGAAGCGUUUUCCGCGUCGGACCGUGUACAAGUCUUCUGGAACGGAGCGUCGUAGAGGGUGAGAAUCCCGUCUCUGACACGGACCGCCGAUGCUUUAUGUGAUACGCUCUCGAAGAGUCGAGUUGUUUGGGAAUGCAGCUCAAAAUGGGUGGUAAAUUCCAUCUAAAGCUAAAUACUGGCGAGAGACCGAUAGCGAACAAGUACCGUGAGGGAAAGAUGAAAAGCACUUUGGAAAGAGAGUUAAACAGUACGUGAAAUUGUUGAAAGGGAAACGUUUGAAGUCAGUCGCGUCGGCCGGGACUCAACCUUGCGCUCGCGCUCGGUGCACUUCUCGGUUGACGGGUCAGCAUCAAUUUCGACCGCCGGACAAAGGUUGGGGGAAUGUGGCAUCCUUCGGGAUGUGUUAUAGCCCUUGAUUCACAUACGGCGAUUGGGAUUGAGGAACUCGGCGCCUCGCGCGUCCAGGAUGCUGGCAUAAUGGCUUUAAGCGACCCGUCUUGAAACACGG